ensembl:lncRNA
GUAGUCCCCCUUCCCUCCCUUUCCCAAAUCGCGGGGAGCCGCGGGGCGGGGCGGCGAGGCGAGGCGAGGCGGAGGGAUACGGCCGCACCGCGCGGCGUGCGUGCGCGCGCUCCAAACUCUUGGAACGCCGCGGAGGGGCGGGCGGGCCUGCCUGCACGGGCGUUGCGUGCGGGCUAGCGUUGUUGCGGCGCUUUUCUCUACCUCUCCUGGCUUGGACUAUCCAAGCUGUUUUAGAAAUUGUCCUGCUCUGGGCGGAGCUCUGAGUCUUCAGCUGUGAAACAGUGUGAUCCUACAGUGACACUCAGAUCCUUGGAGUCUUCUAGUCUGCCCUAGAGGUCGCCCUGAACUCAAGUGGCUUUGCCCCUCCCCUCUCCUGGUGCCUGGACUUUCCAAGGCAGAGCAUGAGAACAAGACCCCAUCAGGACGCGGCUCUCCCAGCCUUCAGCUUGUUCUCUGAGGGAAAGGAAGAGAGGGAUCGAACUCGGGACCUUGUGCUUGCGAGGCAGGCACCGGAAGCACUGAGUUAAAUCCUCGGCCCUAUUUUUUAAUACUUUAUUUUACUCAGUGCCAUGGUCUGUUCCAUGAACAUGAGGCCAUGGUACCCAGGCUCAAGUUUAAGCUCCUCUCUUGCUUGUCCCAAGAUACAAGAACAGGUAGAACUUUUCUUUCUGUCCAAAGUCUACUUCUUCCUUCCCACUCCUUCUAUCUGGCCUAAAGCCAGGUCAUUCACUUAAAAAAAAUGUGCAAAAUAAAAGUGGCAUAAAAUUUCAUGCCAAUAUGUUUGGGUAUAAAAUCUUGCCAGAGUUUUCUACUUCUGGUCAUGGAAUAUUUUGCAGAAGGAUUUUCUGAAUGAUAUUAUAUGGGUGUCUCUUUAUUAAGUAUGGCUUAAAAUGAAACCAAGUAUAUGUUGUUGGGGUAACAAUAGAAAAAAAGAAAGGAACAUUGUAUUCUGCCG